GACGAACGCUGGCGGCGUGCUUAACACAUGCAAGUCGAACGGAAAGGCCUGCUUUCCCUUGUGGAUUGCGGGUACUCGAGUGGCGAACGGGUGAGUAACACGUGAGUGAUCUGCCCCCAACUUGGGUAUAAGCCUGGGAAACUGGGUCUAAUUCCCGAUAGGACUGCAGGGUGGUGCCUGUGGUGGAAAACGAUUUUCUAGUGGUUGGGGAUGAGCUCGCGGCCUAUCAGCUUGUUGGUGGGGUAAUGGCCUACCAAGGCGGCGACGGGUAGCCGGCCUGGGGGGGUGGACGGCCCCAUUGGGACUGGGAUACGGCCCAGACUCCUACGGGGGGCAGCAGUGGGGAAUAUUGCACAAGGGGCGGAAGCCUGAUGCAGCGACGCCGCGUGGGGGAUGACGGCCUUCGGGUUGUAACCUCCUUUCGACCGCGAGGAAGCCACCUGGUUGGAAGGGUGGUGACGGUAGUGGUAGAAGAAGCACCGGCUAACUACGUG
rnacentral:rRNA from 1 species